UCUUCUCCAAGAAGAGUUCUGUGAUUUUCAUAACUAUAAUUUUUAUGACCAUAAUUAAACUUAUUGAAAUUGCAGUAAAAUUCACUAUCUCAGUUUUCUGCUUUACUUUCUUCCCUCCAACCCCUUCCGCAGUUACAACAGUUACUUGUUAUCAGCUCUGGGCUACAUGUUUGUCUUAAAAAACUUUUGUUUCAAGAUGCACUUAAGAGACUUGGGCAUAAAAAUGUCAUCCAUGGCUGUAUUUGUCUAAAAGGAAAAACCCCACAAUAUUUACAUAAAUGAGGAUGUUGCUGCAUCUGCAUGCCUUUUGUUGUUGUUGUUGUUGUUUUGUUACUCAAAAGUUUUUGUUGGGCAAUUAACUUGAUCUGAAAAUCAGAGUUGUUCCUGAAAUUAUAUUUUGGGCAGAGCUAGGAGAACUGAUUAAAGCUUAUCAGAUUUCACUGGUAGCUUAAUCUAAGUUAACUGACAAUUAUAGAGUGAGAUAAAAAUUAAAGCAGUGAGUAUGAAACCUUAUACUGAGCAGGGCAACUCUGGGAAAAGCCCAGUCCUGACCAAAUACUGAGGAGGGUGGCUCUACACCAAGGAAGGAUUACAAAAAUUGCCCAGAACUUCCAGCAAAGCAACUUCUGUGGAAACCAAGAGUAACAUCGUGCAGAGUUUACUGCCAGGUACUCUGGCAGCCACUAAAUAGACACAAUUUGUGUGAUUUGCAUUUCGGACACCUCUUCUGCCUGCUCUUUUAAGAUCCCAGGCACAAGAAAGGAACAGGGAAUGAAUACUUAUGCACAUUUUCUUUUUGCUGCCUUGCUUGCCUUGUUUACCCCCAACACAGCAAAUAAUUUGUAGAGAAGUUACUGUUCACCAUUGCUAACAUGGAAGAUGCUUGUGCGCUGUACAACCAGAUACUUCUUGCAUUUGUAGGGAUGAGGAAGAGUUAUGCUGCUGAACUCCUAAGGGGACAACUUGUCUGCAGAGAUAAAUUACUGUUCUGAACAGCAGUAAGAAUUAAAAUCAGUAAACUUCAUUUUCACUGGUAUAAUGGGAACUCAGAGAGGCUUUCCUCUCUUUCUUUUUUUUUUUUUUUUUUUUUUUUGUCACAAAGGUGCAAAAAUAAAUGAAAAAUAAAAAUCACAAAAUAGGACACUGCACAAACACAGAAAAUGAGCACAGAUAUUGAGCACAGAUAUAUUUUGCCCCUUCCUCCCCACCAGGGUGUCCCCCCACUAGCACCACUAGCACAUGUAAAGGUAUUUCCAAAGCUGGGCUUUAGAGUCUUUUUGAACUCUAUUGUACAUUAGUCUCUGCACCCAUAAAUUGACUCUAGGGUCAUCCAGGGGAUAAUUUAGUUUUAAAUACAGGGUUGCACUAAUAUGUCUGUUGGCCCUCACUCAUCCAUUUGAAUUGGCAGGAGUCCAGCUGGAAUAGAGGAGAGGAGCCGUUUAAGGGACCCGUUCUUCAUGAUGUUACAUUAUCGUAUCUCUUGUCUAGUACUUCCUGAAGAGAAGGCUAGAAUUGGAUUGGUGUAACAGAGCAGACCCCCUACAGUGAUGGGGUAGGGGCUACUGGCCUUACAUUAGGAUGUAGUGUAUAGGGCAGAGUAUGGCCUAGAUUCUGGCCUGAGGAGGAUACAGAUGGAAAGAAAAAUGCAGUUUUUAUGAAGGCUGCUCAGUCACACAUAACACUUACAGUCAAACUGUUGUGCCAGUUUAUGUUUAUGAGUAAUUUAGAGGAAACAUAUACUUAUCUCCAGUUUAAAGAUACGAAGGAGAAAGUAAUUUGCUAACAACUGUUUUGGGUUAUUUGCAGAGACAAGAUAAGAAAUAAAGAGUAAUUGUAGUUUGACUGAAAAAUAACUCCAACUUUCAGAUGUCUCUUGUACCCUCUGAAUCUGUAACAGAAUUGCACUGUGGCCAAAAGAACGAUUUUUUGUUUGUUUUUUGUAAUCUGUCUGUGAGAUGAACAGGACACCUACUUUUAUCAGUUUUCACAGUGAGUAAAAAAAUCAGAAUGUUUGCCAGUUAUCUUGCGUGGCAGAGCCCAACUCUGCAAAGACUUUAGUUUGAAUGUUUUAGGGUUUUAAAAUGCACACUUUUUUGUCUAUAUGUAUAUUUGCUCAUUCUUUUAUUUAAUCAAAGGGAAAAAUUGUGUUCAUGAAGCUUGGCUUUUAAAUUCUAGAUUCCAGUGGUUCAGGCAUCUGUAUAACAGGCUUGUCUGUGCUAUACUGUGCUAUACUACUCUUUGACCUCCUGGGUGUUUCUCUUCUGAGGGGGGAAAGGAAUUCUUUCCAUGUUAAAAGAGUUCAGUCUCCUCCUGUCACUGAUUGCCUCUGCUGCUCAGUUGAGCCCAAUUAUAUGCAAUGGCUUUUCAAGGGUUCAGCUGUGAAGAAGGCAUGUGUGUGAAUGAUAUCAAUAAAAUAACAGGAUUUGCAUAUACAGAAGCAGAACACAUGCUACUGCUUUGCUGAUUUACCAUGUAAGGUACACUUACUGUUCGGUAGGACAUCUGUUGACGCUGCCGCUUUUAUAUCUCUCCUGCUUAGUUCUCCUGGCUGCCAUAGGCACGGGCGAAAGAAAAUAGCAGUGCAAAGUGUUCAUGCAGGAGUAAUAAUAGUCCUUAACAGAAGAAGAGUAAUUACCUUUGUCUGGUUUCUCCCUGCUCUAAAAUCUAAUAAAAUAGAGACCAGCGGCUAUGUAACAAAUGCACACGGAAGUCCUGUUGCUUUUACUAAAUCUGAGGCAAGUUAUGUAAAAUGUCCUGUGCUCACAAGCUAACUCGCAUCUUAAUUCUGAAAAAAAUCCAUUACUGAUGAGUAGAUUUCCUGACUACAUUUGACAGCUUUCAAGCUAGCAGCAUUUGGCAGGGCCUUUUAGAGUUAUAGGAGAUUUAUAGCUAAAGAGAUUACAUAGCAAUGGGUUCAGAUCCGAUCCCUUUCCCCCAGCUCCUGCGCUGGGUAACAAUGACAGGAGCUGUCUGUGUACCAGAAGGAACAGUUUAAGAGCGGUGGCUGCAUUUGGCAAUAGAAACCCCCGCUAGCAGCCGGAAGCAUUGGUGCUGAAAAGCAAUCGCUGGUGUCAAGAACUUUCCUAGCCAAGCACUGCAGCUGGUGGCAAUAAAUAGCAUUCUAAUAAAGGAGGAUGUUCAACCCAUGACAUAAGCGAAUACUGUUUCAACCACAAAAAGUAAUUUAUGGUGCUGCAUAUAUCUGAAAUGUACUUUAUCUGAUACAUUUUAAAAUACAAAUGCUAAGAUUUCAAACAGAGAAAGAUCUGCAUUUUAAAUCAAAAUGAAAUUGAAAGAUCAAUGAAAAGUGUACUGCUUUUUUAAGUACGCAAUGAUACAUAACAUCUUAAGGAUGUGCACUGUCACAAAGCACAAUUACCUCCAUUCCUAAAAAUGAAAGAUGCUGUUUUCUGACUGUGAAUAUUCUCUAUAUUGCAUCAAACCUAAUAACUUCCCGUGUCAGUGAUAAUCCCCUCCAACAUUUAGACAGAACUAUCAUAAUCUUUUCCUCUAAGAAUGCCAAAAUGAUCAUGCAGAAAGUAGCAAAUAACAAUAUGCUCGGAUUGCAUAAACAUAAUGAUUCCUGAAAAAAAAUCAGUUCCAGCCUCAAUGAACAGUAAAAAAAGAGGAGUGGAUAAUAAAGUCAUUAGGCUCAUUGGACCUGUUAACUUGCUGAGUCCACUACAGUAAACAAGUUAUUAGUUUUGACAUAACCAGUGGUUUAUUUGAACAUAUACUGCUGUUCUUUGUUAUGUGCUCUGUUUAUGCCACAUGUGAUUUCUCUUACAUAAUUAUUGUGAAACACAGCAAUGUUACAUACUGCAUCAUUUUCCACUGGGAUGAGCAGUGUGGAUGUAGUACCAGGAGGACUGUCCUUGGAGUUUAUUUCUACUGGCUAGUUUGGGGAUUUUUUGCGUGUGUGGAAGAGAAGGUAGUUUUGGUUUUAGCUGAGCAUAGGCUGUCUGAUUAACUGAAUAGAGGGAUUGUUCUGAAAGGCAUUUUAUAAAGGAGUUUGCUUCGAAUCAUAAGGGCUGUAUGUGCAAGCAUGUAAAUUGAGUAACUGGUUAAGUGCUACUCAAGAUCAAAAUACUUUGUAUUGGAAUGCAAAGCACAGUUUGCAGUUUGAAAUUCCUUAAGUAAAUGUAUAAUUGGCAUUAUUCUUUUACACGUGUUUAUUAAUUCCCUAGUUUUUAUUUUGGAAGAAAUAGGCCCACAUGUUUGAGAGAUGGCUGAUACCCAUUUACCAGCAGCAGAGCUCUGUACUCAAGCUGAUUCUCACCCCUGCCCCCUCCCACUGUAGAUGGUUUCUGCUGUCAUCUAGGAGUUAAAGAGCCAGAUUCUCAGCUGGUGCACAUCAGCACUGCUAUCCUGAAAUAAACAGGCAUAACUUCACUGUAGUCACUCAAACCUAAGCUCAGAUUCAUGGUUUUGCCGUCCUUGAGCGCAGUGCUUUUUAAGGCUUACAAUACUCACUUCUGUGAUACUUUGUUAUGGUAUAAACAAACACCAGGCUUCUGAUUCGAAUUAUAAUCUCAUUCACCCAGAAAGCAAUAGAGCUCUGCUUAUUUAUCCCAGCUGAGAGGAUAGCCCAAAGGCUUUUCAUGUUGUAUGAUAAAGUAAUGGGCUGUGAUGCUGACUGCACACCCCUCCCCAUAUAAACAAGGAGGCGACCCCACUACUGCUGGUGCAAUUACUUAGAUGUGAAACAGUUGUUGAGAAAGUUGUGGAUUCAAAUCAGUGCCAUGAUGUUUAUUCUGUAGUGAAGUGACAUGUCUGCUGAGGCUUUAGUCAGUUCAGAAGGAAAGCAAGAGUCUGAAUUUAGGUCUUGGUAUGAAGAGUUGGACAGAAAUUUGGGAGUAAUUAAAGGAUGGAACACCUACUGAAAAUGCUGAAUUGAAUGUUUCCUGUAAACUGUGUGUGCAGCCACAACACUCUUUGAUUCUGAGUCACAUAUAAACUCAGGAUGGAAUCCAGCUGUAAAGCCUGGAUCUAGAUCUGAAUUUCCAGAAGUUCAAGGUUGUUGAGAACAGUGGAAUUUAUUUGGUUCCGUAUCUAAUUUAAAUGCAAAACUUUUAAAGUAACUUCAAUCAGAUGUGCUUCGGAGCCACUGGAAAAAUAGUGCAAUAAAAGCUGAAAUUAAACAUAUCUGGUAUUGUGUAGGGAUUUUAUUAGUAUUCCAGUUUAAGGUUAGAAUAGUGCUCUCAUGCAGUCAGCCUACGUUAAUAAAUUAAAGCAGGGAAGUUUGCAAAUGAUUUAAAAUCAUGGCUUACACAUUUUCUAAAGAAAAAGAAGAGAAGCACAGAAAGUUCAUCUUAAUUCUCGAGGCAGUGCAUGUGGUGAACAUUAGUUUUCCCUUUCUUAUUUUUUUAAGGUUAGCUAAUGCUUUAUUUUUCUUCACAAAUACUGUACUGGUAACUGAAGAUAUCUUCCAUAUGUUUACAAUGGCAGGGAUAGCAACAUCAAUGAUAUAAGGACCUUCUUUAGGUGUGGCACAUAGUAGCAAAGAAACAUAACUGUGUAUGUAUUCACAUCUCCACAGCGGUACUUUGUUCCAAAACUGCAAAACACUUCAAAUGAAGGAACAUGGUCUGGCACGAAUUGGGAGCUGAAGGAAAGAAAGAAUGCAGUAUUUAUUUAAAACCAAAACAAAACCUGAAACAAAGAAGCCGGUUCUUGCUUCUAAGUUUAACCUGUAAUAUUUCAUUCAAUAUGCUGUCUUGAUCAAAAUCAGCUGCAGGAAUAGGAUAGCUAUCAGUGCUCUCAUUUUUGUCGACAUGAAACAGAAAAUCAAUGAUCCCCUUAUUCUCCUUUGUUACCUGUUUUCUUCAGCCCAGCCAGGUUAGUGGUUAUCUAGGGAAUGUCAGCAAUGAUAAUUCUUAUAGAAACUCUCUCUCAUGGUUUUGGCUGGUGAGAAGGUGUUUGAUAAGAAACUACCAGGUGAAGGAGAGAAAGCAAGCUGAGAGGUAAACAAACAUCCAAAGGCUGCCCAGGGGACUGAGGUUUGCGAGUGCUGUGCUCAUUUUGGCAGAGCUAGAACAUCCUGAGCGACUGGUCUCGCACUGCCUGGCUGCACAGCUUGCUGAUUAUGGAUGGGAGGUCAUGUCCUGCCUGGAGAUGAUCUUCACCAACCUGGAAAAGCAUCUUUAUUAAGGGCAGAGAAGUGGGAAAAUGAAGAAUUUCUAGAGCUAUGAGAGCCCACCUGUGAAAGUGACCCAGGGCCCUCUUAAUACUUUUAAAGUGAGCAGGACGGCCACAGCUUCUGUGUGCUCUGGUUUUCAGGCAGCACGUUGGUUGGGAGGUGGGUGGUUGUUGAGGGAGGCUUGCAAGGUUCAUAUGUCUAUAACAGCUAAAUGUAGUUUACCUGGUAUAAUGUUCUCAGUGAGCUGGCUUUGCUCUUCUGGCUUUUCCUGAAGGAAAUUCUUCCAUCUGGUUAUUUUCAGAAGUUUGAAAUCCAAAAGUCAGACUAGAUGUGAUCUCUGACCAAACAAGGGUCUCUCCAGGCAGUUUAAGAAUACACUUUCGAGGAGCUGAUUUAUCCCAAGCUUGUGUUUGUGCCAGUAGAGCUGAAGCACCUGCUAUGCAGGACUGCACAGUUCCAAACUGAUACUCACCUGUGAUGCAUUGCCUCCUUGAUCAUCAGUUUUUAAAAAGACCCGAAGCCCAUUUCUUUUUCUUCACUGCCUUCCUCUGACUUAAAAAUUUGCAGGACAUGACUUAUUGCUUUGCAACAUAAAGCCUGUCACUGGUAGCACUUGGCUUUUCCUUUUCCCCCAUACUGGUGAUUUGGUACAGCAGCACUGAUUCCUGUGGUGUUAGACCUGCUUAUAGUUGUGUAACAGGACAAAUGGGAUCCACAGAUUUUUAGAGCUUUAAAUGAUCACAGAAUACCCACAGAUUCAGCAAUGAAUUGAGUGCUCUCCACUUUCCCCAGCCAAGUUCAAAAAUGUGAGCAUUACGAGCCCAAAGAUAAAAUAAAAAGAAAAAUGCCACGUGAAGCACUCUGGUACUCUUGUUUUUGUUUUGUGCUCUUUCUUCAAGUUAUCUCAAAGAAAAGUAAUUUAUUGAGGUCUCUUAAAUGCGUAUAUCAGGUGCUGGCAGCACUGAAUCUUUCUUGUGUAUCCUGCUUAAGAAAAGAAUGACAGCUGACGGAUAAAUCUUUCUAAAGAGGUCUGAAACAGCCAUAUUUACUGAACUGGAUCUUUUGAAGACUUAGGGAGGCUACAUUUUGCUUACCACUUCUGUAUGAACUUAAACUAUGUAUCACUUCUCUUGUGUCCUUUUUCUGUCUCCCAGUAAUUUUCUACUUACUGUUUGCAUUUUAGUAGCACAGAAUAGGGAACUCAAGCUUUUUUUGAUAGGAGGCUGUAUCUUUCAGAGCCCAAACUUCAGAGGACUUGCCAAAUUCUGCGUCAAACAUGAAACUUGCAGAAAGAGCAUUAAAAAUAUUUAAACUAAGCAAUUAAUUUCUUACCAUCUGGAAGAAUCACAAACAGUUACAAAAGCAACUCAAAAAUUCGUAUGCCAUUAAUAGGCUGACUUCUUCAAUACAGAAUAUUAUGCUGUUCAUAGCAACAGAUUAAUGUACAACCAGUCAUGACUGGCCUUUCAAACAAAUCAGAAUAGACAAUCCUGUAGAUAAUGGGGAAUCUCUAUAUUAUGAUUGAUGUCCGAGAUUUAUGAUGUUAUAAACUAUUGGUUAUGUUGUUUUGACAAUGGAAGAACUAACGAAUGAGACAGAUUUGCCUGCAGUGAUGAACUAUAUCAUAAAGAAACAUUAAUAAAGAUAAAACAUUUGGAAAUUCUUUAUGAAAAAUAUCAUUUUUGCUCUUUUCACAAGGAACAAAAGAAGCCAGAAACAUGACAGAUUUCAUCAAGAGAGCUGUUCACAGACUAAAACACAUUGGCAAAUGGGAUGCAUCUAGCGAAGCAUAUGAGUCUCACAAGCUGCCUCUCAAUCUGGACCCGUGGAGCUGAGAGAAAACACCGCAGCAAGGAGAGACGGUGAGAAAUCAGAGUAAAACUGUGGAUGAUGGGAACAAGUCGUAAAACUGUUUUCAGACCCUAAGCCAGUGUGGUGAGCUCCUUGUUCUGCUAAGAGAACAGGAGAGAUUUAACAAAGUGAAUCAGAUGAGAGAAAACACUGAAAACUGCAUAAAGGAAAGAAUAAUGGAAAACUGUAUUAGUGAAACUGGAAACAAACAUGAAAAGCAAGUAUUCUAGAUACAAUUAGCAGAGUAUGCUGGGAGAAUGAUGUUGUUUUGAUUUAAAAUACAACACCUUUUACUGAAUGCAACACAGCAGAAGAAACCUUGUUUCCCUCUCUGGGUAGCAGCACACCCGUGUGCUGACCCAGUAAUGUGGCAGCUUCUUGAGAGGGUCUUGCAAGCCAGGACUGGGCAAAGUGCCGCUGCCAUCUCAGUCUCCGGUGGCAGGGAGGUUUCCAUCUGUUGUCCUUCAGGAGGUUGCAGGUUGGCUCUCUUCAGAAGCAGUCACUAAGCUACAAGAACAACUUUGGCACAUGAGAGACAGAAGCUUUUGUUUCUCUUCAUGAAGCAAGCAGAGCUUUGGAUUAGGUAUGAGAUUUUGAAAGAGGAGAUGGACAGAAAUAACAGUGUAGUUGGGAAGAAUGUAGGAAAGGUAACAAGAAGCAUAGUAUAACAGACUUUUUUUUUCAGGAAAACAGAAUUAGACCUGAAGUGUGUUAUUAACACAUGAAAAAAAAUUGAGGGAAAAAGGCCUGCAGAGCAAGCAAGAAGCAGUUUUAUUAGUGAAAGCGCACUGGGAAAUAUGAAGCAAUUCUGAACUCACUGUUUAAGCACAAGAACUUGUUUUUCUACUUGAUGCUUACUGUCCUGGCACUUGCCAUCCUUGUGCCACAGCACAUGCGGCUGCAAAAUGGACAUCCUGUGUCCUGAUUAGUAAAAGUCACUAAAAGUUUUAAAGAGCAUGUCCCAGAAAUUAGGGAUGAGACCUUAUUUCCUUCCCUACUUUGGAAAACCUACGUUGUAAAUUAGAUGAGACCCCAGCAGAAGAGCAAUAAGGCUGAACAAAGUACAGUCUGUAUGCGAGAAUGACAGGGUAAAUGCUCAGCCAUCAGCAUGACACUGCUGAAUGCAGAUGCCAGCAGAUCCCUGUCUGAUCUAACCUAGUGAUGCAGAAACCAGCAGCAGACUCACAGCCCUUGCACAUCUGGGACAGACACGAGGAAGUAUGAGAAAAAUCCAACCGAAUCUGCUUUCUGAAUCUUCAUGACAGGGCUCUUACUGGUGUUGCGUUCUUGUACCUGAGUAACUGAAGAAUGAAGGAAAGAGGUGUGCAGCUUGCAGAAUGGGAAGGGGGGAACUACAAAUUACACACUAAAGGCUAGCUACAACAAGUGGUGUCUUCCCUCUAAACAGACUCUUCAAUGUUACUUUUCCAGCUAAGUGGUAUCUCAUCUGGGACAUAUUUAAAAAUCCCCACUGUUGCUCAAAUGUUGGAUAGUUGGCUUUCUUCUUUAGUCUGUAGUUAGUAUGAGCUUUGAGCACGUUAUCUCUGGUCAAGAAGCAUAAACCAGUCACACACAGCAUUAAUGGACAGGAUUGUCUCAAGCCAAGCACAACAUAGUAAAUCUGUGACACUUAUUAUCUCGCAUUCCUAUGACACAUCUGCUAUCAUGCCAGAAACUGUUGCUGGGUUUCCAGGGGCUGUGGGUUGCUGAAACACAAACAGCUCAUACAAAUCUUACCCUCUCUGGCUGCCUACAGCAAACCUUACAGAAAUGCUGGGGUGAAAUGAAGGCACAGAAAAACUUAUUUUGACUGGAGCCUCCGACGUUUUGGAAAGCCAGUGUGAUCUCAUCAGUACAGCUGAGUAAUUGGGCUAGUGAUAACAGAAUUGUUGAGAUAACUCUGGGAACUGAGGGUCUGGACCUUCAUGGCAAAUGUACACCUAAGCAAAAGAACCUGCUUCUGCAUGCUCCAUUUAGCAGACUCUUUCUUAAUAUGUGUUUUGUUUAAGUAAAUGUUUAUUUCACCACCUGAGCUGUAAGCCACAUGUCUGACUAUGAAGACUGGUGUUAGUUUUAUGAGAAUAUUCAAUGAUGGAUAUAUCCCAUCAGUGUUAUAUUUUACUGGUGACAGCUAACUACCACACUCAUCCAUGUUAGAGACUUGAAACAUGUACAAAACUUGGUGAAUCACAUCAAGUAUUUAAGUAUUUCCAAAGGGUGAUAUUAGAAUUCAAACUAAACUCAACAGAUCACAGAAGUAGUUUGAAGUCAGCAAGUUAAAACUCUAAAAAUGCACUAGCAACUAGUAUGUGCAAGAAAGAAAAGAAUAGUAGGAUGAAAAAAUGAAUUUGGGAUGAAUCUGGAUAUGGGCAUUAUAAAUGGCCCCAGACUAAACAGAAGCCACCAACUUGCGAUUGAGCAAAUGUAUUUGCAACGAUCUUGGACGUAAGAUACUAUGUGUUUCUAAACUAGAACAAAAUAACAUAGGCACACUGGAAGAGAUAAGUGUGAAGUAACAAAUACGAUCAUAAAAUUCAAAACUUUCUACAAAAAUGCUGGAAGAGUUUGUGGUGUUUAGUUGAGAAAACAAUAUUCAGAUACGGAAAAGGUCAGAAAAAGAAGGCAGCCACCACAUUUACUAUCCAUAUUCACUUAUAAUUGGAUGAGACGUAACAGGCUUAUUAUAGCAAAAAAAGAUUUAGGUAAGACAUUGGAAAAUCUUUCUAACUAAAAAAGAUGGGUAGUGGAAUGAAUUCCCAUAGUCCUUUUAAGCAUCUUCAUUGCUGGAGUUUUUUUAAGAUUAGAUUAGACAGACAUUUAAGCUCAUCUGUAUAGACAUUCUUGCCUCAGAAGAAGGUUGAAACUAUAUGUCUUGAGACCAAAUUGCACCUACAUUUCUUUUUCAUGAUACGUAGCCUGAUAAUUUUUUUAAACAUAUUUUGUAAUUUGUAUGUAAUGCAAUGCCAAACACAUUGAAAUAAGGCUGCUUAGAGUAGGUAUGGAAACAAACUGAUUAAACUAAUUUUUAUGUUUUUCCACUCAUUCUGGAGCUAUCAUGCUGAGACAGAACACAAAACCAAGUGUGGUGUGAAUGCUCAUUAUGGAAAAAAAAAUCAAAUAUAUCCAUUUGAAAUGGAAAAUGUUUUCUGGUAGUAAAGCUUGCAUUUCCACAGCACUCUUCUACUGGGAUUUUCAAAGUGCUUUCAGAGAUGGUCUUAGCACCCGAGGCACUUUGUGAGGUGAGACCACAUCUGUGCAGCGUCACGUUGGAGACAGAAGCCUUGAAAUAUCCAGUUCAAGUUCUAAAACCUGCUGGUGCUCAGCAGAGCUGGGCCUGGCUGGCUCCAGGUGCAGCUCAUCCCCUCCUCUGUGUCACGCUCUCUCAGCAUCACUGUCACUUGUCAGUUUGCAGAAAUGUCUCUGUGCUUUCAUCAACACUUAAAUAUGGGAAACCAUCCUAUACGACAGUGAUAAGUGUCGAGUUAGUGCCCUUUCCUGAAGACCUUUACCAAUACAUCUAUGAAGAGCAAACAAGUAACAGGAACUUCUAUAAAUAGAAAGGGUAGCUGGUAUUUAUUAAUAGCAAAAAUAAUUAUAUGUGUAUAUUUUAUGUAUGUGUUUAUAUGUAAAUGUACAUGUAUUUACAUAAAUAAAUAAAUACAUAAAAUUGUAUUAUUUUGA